AUGGGGGCGGCCCUUCCCCCGAGGUUUUAAAAACGGGGUCGGGGUUUUUUUUCUUCGCGGUUUUCGUUAAUGAUUUUUUUUUUUCCGGUGGGUGAACCUGCGGAACGAUCAUU
rnacentral:rRNA from 1 species